AUCCAGCUGACGAGUCCUAAAUAGGACGAAACGCGAGUCUAAAGUGGAU
rnacentral:hammerhead_ribozyme from 1 species